rnacentral:lncRNA from 1 species
UUCUGAAUUAUUCACCGUUGUCCACGUACUAGUUGUCAUAAACAGACUUUCGAUCUCUUUAUGAUGGCAGUACAGCAGAUCACUCAAGGACUGCUAAGACAUGAAUUAACGUUUAAACACUUGACAAAGUUACAACAUCCUACGUUGAAAAUGGACUAGACGAUACUGAUAAUAAUAAUGGUUUUAUGCAAAAUUGCAGUGCAACAGAUCACUCAACGGUUGCUGAGCAUGAAUUAACAUUUUUAGCGCUUGGAAUAGUUUCAACAUCCUAUGUUUAAUAUGGAUUAGAAGAUUGCAGUACAGCAGAUCUUUCAAGCCAUGAUGAAACAUGAAUUAUCGUUUUUAGCACUUGGGAAAAUUUGGACAUCCCAUGUUGAAAUUUGACUAGACAAUACUGAUAAUAAUAAUAAUAAUAAUGGUAUUUUGCAUGAUUGCAGUACAGCAGAUCUUUCAAGCCAUGAUGAAACAUGAAUUAUGGUUUUUAGCACUUGGGAAAAUUUGGACAUCCCAUGUUGAAAUUUGACUAGACAAUACUGAUAAUAAUAAUAAUAAUAAUGGUAUUUUGCAUGAUUGCAGUACAGCAGAUCUUUCAAGCCAUGAUGAAACAUGAAUUAUGGUUUUUAGCACUUGGGAAAAUUUGGACAUCCCAUGUUGAAAUUUGACUAGACAAUACUGAUAAUAAUAAUAAUAAUAAUGGUAUUUUGCAUGAUUGCAGUACAGCAGAUCUUUCAAGCCAUGAUGAAACAUGAAUUAUGGUUUUUAGCACUUGGGAAAAUUUGGACAUCCCAUGUUGAAAUUUGACUAGACAAUACUCAUAAUAAUAAUAAUAAUAAUAAUGGUAUUUUGCAUGUAUAGCAGAUCUUUCAAGGCUCGCUGAAACCUGAAUUAACAUUUUUACCACAUUGAAAAGUUUCAACAUCCUACAUUUAUAUUGGACUAGAAGAUUCCGAUAAAUCUAAUAAUUUUAUGCAAUUCACUUUUAUUAUUUUAUGGUUAAAUUCA